rnacentral:rRNA from 1 species
UACAGAGGGUGCAAGCGUUGUUCGGAAUUACUGGGCGUAAAGCGCGUGUAGGCGGUUCUGUAAGUCUGCUGUGAAAGUCCAGGGCUCAACCCUGGGAUGCCGGUGGAUACUGCAGGGCUAGAGUACGGAAGAGGCGAGUGGAAUUCCCGGUGUAGCGGUGAAAUGCGCAGAUAUCGGGAGGAACACCUAUUGCGAAGGCAGCUCGCUGGGACGUUACUGACGCUGAGACGCGAAAGCGUGGGGAGCAAACAGG